rnacentral:rRNA from 1 species
AGUGAACGCUGGCGGUAGGCCUAACACAUGCAAGUCGAACGGCAGCACAGGGGAGCUUGCUCUCUGGGUGGCGAGUGGCGGACGUGUGAGGAAUACAUCGGAAUCUACUUUUUCGUGGGGGAUAACGUAGGGAAACUUACGCUAAUACCGCAUACGACCUACGGGUGAAAGCAGGGGAUCUUCGGACCUUGCGCGAUUGAAUGAGCCGAUGUCGGAUUAGCUAGGUGGCGGGGUAAAGGCCCACCAAGGCGACGAUCCGUAGCUGGUCUGGGAGGAUGAUCAGCCACACUGGAACUGAGACACGGUCCAGACUCCUACGGGAGGCAGCAGUGGGGAAUAUUGGACAAUGGGCGCAAGCCUGAUCCAGCCAUACCGCGUGGGUGAAGAAGGCCUUCGGGUUGUAAAGCCCUUUUGUUGGGAAAGAAAUCCAGCUGGUUAAUACCCGGUUGGGAUGACGGUACCCAAAGAAUAAGCACCGGCUAACUUCGUGCCAGCCGCCGCAGUAA